GUGAGAGGAGGGAGGACAACCAUCCCUCGCCAUUUUACGUCAAAGCUGAACUCAAUCAAGUAAGCUUCUGUCAGUCGCUGUGUUUGUGUACAGUGUUGUGAAAAAUUAUCUGUGUCGAUGAAUAUCAAUCGGAAAUUGUGUUGAUUACGACUCGAAACGAUGGGUCGAUUAUUGUGUUUGUGGCUCUGAUGCAUCAUUCUGUCUGUAAUGAUGGCCAAGUGUUUGAUGAAGUGAAGUGUUCUGUGUCGUAUGCUGGCCAGUAACAGCAACAGUGAGAUCCUUUCUCUGGAUAAAUCGUCCCCAAGACGACGUCGUAUAAUACAACGGCAAGGUGACGCACCAUGUCGGCGAAAAACAUCCCAGGAGAUAAGAUAAACCUGCGGCUGAUUCUGGUGUCCGGCAAGACGAAGGAGUUCGUGUUCAGUCCUGUUGACUCGGCGGGGGAUAUCGCGAUACACGUCUACGACAACUGGCCUGAAGCGGACUGGGCGACGGAAUGCGUGUCACGCGCCGAGAUCCUGCGGCUGAUAUACCAGGGUCGGUUCCUGCACAGCUCGGUGACGCUCGGCGCCCUCGGGCUGCAGCUCGGCCGCACCACCGUCAUGCACCUCGUGCCCCGCGAACACCUACCCGAGCCCAACUCCCACGAAGUUCGGUGGAGUUAACAUUAGCCUAAUCCCAGCACCCACCUAUCCUAUCCUUCCACCUGACUACCUCUAAUCAACGACAAAAGAGUAAAGGCGGCUCCAGCAGUUGUUGUUCAGCGUCUUGCUGCAUAUUGUAAUACCUUACCUCGUGGCGUGAAUAAGACGGAAAUAUGCGCACUGGGGGGAGUGAGUGAGACAGCCGACCGGCCGAUACGGACUCAAUGUGUUCAGUGAUGUAGAUUUGGAAACAGGCGCCCACCAGCGACACCUUGUGAUGUUUUUAAAUAAUGAUCGCAAAUCGAAUUAGACGAAAAUUAAAAUUGUAGAACAUCGACAUAAUAAUCGAAGGAUUUGGGUCUGCGCUCAAAUACUAAUAGAAGUCCCCGAAAACGCAAAAAGUCCACUACCUAUAAGCCAAAUGAAUAGGUACGUUUAUAUACGACAACUCGGUAGGUUUUUUUUGUGAUUUUGUAUUGGAUCCGACAUCCUUACAUUAUUAUGUCUAUGGUGUAGAAUCAAUAACUAAUUUAAUGUCAAUUUUUAUUAUCAUGAAAUUGCACAUAAUUGUAUAAAAAUUUCAAAUGUAAAACGCACACUAAGUCGACCGCUUUGUUUGAAAAUAUCGCAAGACUUCUAUAGAUACUCGUCGUCACUGUAUCAUUUGGUAAUUCUGAAUAGCUUUAUAAGCGACAUUGUAUAACUCACCGCGUAAGUUAUAUACCUAGAUCAAUAGGAACCAUGCUGCCGAGAUGUUAAAUUAGUAGGUAUUCGGGAUAAGACGAGAUAGGUACGUGGCGUGACGUCGCCGUGUGGGGGCGUGGUUAAGACGUGAUCACGUGACAACAGGCCGUAGUCCAACGUGAUAGCUAAACUCCCGCCCGUCUCACGGCGACUACAAAUCCUUAGUAUUAUAAUUUAGGCCAUCAUAUGAAUUUAUAUAACGUUACUAUGGAGAUAUUUAUAAAAUUUAAAAUGACAAAUUAAGUAGUGAAAACGAAAGGAGUGCAAACCGCUCUGAUUUGCUGUAAAUAGUAUGUUAAAUUUGAUAAUUUAAUAAGGACACGUUUUCGGGGCUAUUGUUUUGUGAUAAGUUCUUGCAAUAUAUUGGGAUCUUUUUUUUAUAUUUUAUUAUUUAAAAAUGCUAUUUACUGCGCUAGAUGUAGUCUGUAAUCGUAAUGGAAUUAUAACGGAAAAUAAGAUGGAAUGAUUACUAUUCCAUGAACACGGCGACUGUCUGAUGUGAAUUGGAGGCUGGAUAAAUUUUAGUUUUAACGCACUAGUGUAAUUCUGUAAAUUUACAAGUCUCGCUUACAAUUCUGUACGUAUACGCCUGUAAGAAGGGAGAGUGCACAGUACCUACGAAUUUAUUUGCUGUAUGACGCAUGACGCGGCUUCGACUCGAAUCCAAUGCAAACUCAAUUACACUACAAUAUCUACAGCGUUACCACAACCCCGACCCUUCUGUAAAUAUUAUAACAUAGAUCUUUUUAUUUUAUAUUGUUAUUUUUACAUCACACAUAGAAAGCCUAAUUUAUAAAUUUCAUUUGGCAUUUUAUAUCGUAGCGAUAAAAUAUUUCGUUUAUUGGCUUUAGGAUGAAUGACUGUGGAUAUUUUUGUUGUAAUUUUAUGAGGUCAUCCAAAAGUUACGGAGUUGCCGCUAACAAUUUUUUUGUUGUGGCACGAAAUAUUUAGAGAUAGUACAAAUAAAAUUUAUUUACUCCAUGGAUUUUAUGUUCAGUGAUAUAGUUCACAUUUCUAACAGUAUUAAGAGAAAUAUCAAACGACUCGUGCAUUACAUCGGCUGGUGCUCCAACUGUUUCGGUCUUGUAACACAGAGCAGUACAUAUACAGAGUGAAAGCUUUCAGCCAGUGCUCACUCUGAAAGCUUAAACCGUUACAUAGCAACGUAAUUAUGAUUAGGACUGUCGACAUCACUAGGUUUAUAUUUUUCAUGUUCUUCAUGUUCUUAUAAUCACGUCGACCAAUAUCACUUUCCAAGUUUACACUCUGUAUAGUAUGUAGUUCCCUGUGGUUGUAUUACAAGGCAGAACUCGACUGAUUGUGAGAAUCUUGCCAUUCAUCGUAUUUGGGAGUACUGUAAGGGGCCGAUGAUGCGGUCGUGUAUUGUAUCUCAAUGGAACGUAACUACUCCGUAUGAAUGAUUUAUAUUUGGUUGCUCUAUUUAGUUGCUGUAUGUAUGUAUUUUGUUAAGUUGUGUAAAAUACCUAGUUUAUAAAUAAAAUUAAUGCAAAUUA